CCCCUAACUGUUCCAAAAGUAUAAAAGCAAAAAGGGAACUUUGUUCAGGGUCUCAGACCAAGUCCUGUGUUCUGACGGGCCACUGAGACCCUAGUUCGAACUAGCAAUAAAGACCUGUUUUGCUCUUGCAUCUCACGACUGAGCCUGGUGACUGCGGCUCCACACGGGGGACUCAAGGAAAUGGGGAACAACAUUUGGGGGCUUGUCCGGGAUCCCCGUGAGGAGCAGCAACCCCAGCCACUGGGAUUUAUUCUGGCACCUAUCAGUACAAAACUGAAGUCAGAAAACAUCUAGGAGGUGCUUAGGAUGGAAGGAAAAAGAACAUGGGGCCUGAAUCACAGUACAAAAGGAUCAUUUGCUCCUGAGCCCAAUGAACAUGCCCUUGGGUGAUGGAGAAAGAAGCUCCCUCCUAUCUACAGAGCUGCUCAUCUCUCCCACCUGUUGAAAGGCCUUUGUGGAGUAGAGGCCUUUGAUAAGAAUUCAUAUGGGAUCCAAACAUACCACCCUAUCUCCCGGGAUUAUUGAGAGGAAUCAAUGAGCCAGAAAACUUCUGCUGACUUUGAUCCAAUCCAAUACUAGUUACUUUAAUAAAAAAAAAAAAGGUAUGCUUGUUUUGAAAACAAAAUCACAACAUCAGGUUGAAGAGCUGUGGUUGCCCUGAACUUCCUGAUUGAUUCUAUUCAUGGGUAUAUGUAAAUUACAGCAAAGUUUAUUCAC